CUUGGAGAGCUGUAUCUGCUGGUGGCCUUCCAAAGAGAUGGAUGAUGCCACCAUUUCUUUGGACAGACUGUUGCAAGAAAAAGUGCCUGAAUCUCCUCUGUAGCAACUAAAGGACACUAUCCCAUCACAGGUUACCUGGGAGAAGAGGAUGGCAUAAGAAUCCAGACAAAGCAACUCAAGUGGAAGCAUUGCUUUCAAGGAGGAUAUGGGGAGGGGGAGAGUUUUCACUGAAUAACUGCAAAAUUUCCAACACUGAUUAAUGUUUGAAGAGAAACUUUUCUAUUCUCCUUUUUGUUGUCUUCCAAUGUAUUCUCAUUCUCGAAUUUUGAGAACCCCCAAGACCUAUAAAAGAAUGAGACUAUCAAACAAAGGCUGAUACACAUGUGUUUGGGGAUGAAAAAUGUGAAUGGAGUAGCUCUUUAAGGCACUUGACAUUUAUAAGAUUGAUGAGACUGCUCUUAAAUACAUUAUUUGAAGUCUUUGAAUUCUCUCUCUAUCCAGCUGAAGCUGGGUG